rnacentral:rRNA from 1 species
GAUGAACGCUGGCGGCGUGCCUAAUACAUGCAAGUCGAGCGAACAGACGAGGAGCUUGCUCCUCUGACGUUAGCGGCGGACGGGUGAGUAACACGUGGAUAACCUACCUAUAAGACUGGGAUAACUUCGGGAAACCGGAGCUAAUACUGGAUAAUAUAUUGAACCGCAUGGUUCAAUAGUGAAAGACGGUUUUGCUGUCACUUAUAGAUGGAUCCGCGCCGCAUUAGCUAGUUGGUAAGGUAACGGCUUACCAAGGCAACGAUGCGUAGCCGACCUGAGAGGGUGAUCGGCCACACUGGAACUGAGACACGGUCCAGACUCCUACGGGAGGCAGCAGUAGGGAAUCUUCCGCAAUGGGCGAAAGCCUGACGGAGCAACGCCGCGUGAGUGAUGAAGGUCUUCGGAUCGUAAAACUCUGUUAUUAGGUAAGAACAAAUGUGUAAGUAACUAUGCACGUCUUGACGGUACCUAAUCAGAAAGCCACGGCUAACUACGUG